rfam:Mycobacterium sp. ACS1612 contig_66, whole genome shotgun sequence.
GUGAGCGCAGUCACAAGCGUACGAUCGAGCGCACGACGGGUUCGGGAGUGACCGAUCCAAAGUGCCGGUAAGAGGCGAAGG